GGCCCCAUCGUCUAGUGGCCAGGACGCUGGGUUCUCAGUCCAGCAACACCGGUUCGAAUCCGGUUGGGGCCG
rnacentral:tRNA from 1 species